rnacentral:rRNA from 1 species
GUUGGUAAGGUAACGGCUUACCAAGGCUACGAUGGGUAGGGGUCCUGAGAGGGAGAUCCCCCACACUGGUACUGAGACACGGACCAGACUCCUACGGGAGGCAGCAGUGAGGAAUAUUGGACAAUGGGCGCAAGCCUGAUCCAGCCAUGCCGCGUGCAGGAUGACGGUCCUAUGGAUUGUAAACUGCUUUUAUACGAGAAGAAACACUACUUCGUGAAGUAGCUUGACGGUAUCGUAAGAAUAAGGAUCGGCUAACUCCGUGCCAGCAGCCGCGGUAAUACGGAGGAUCCAAGCGUUAUCCGGAAUCAUUGGGUUUAAAGGGUCCGUAGGCGGUUUGGUAAGUCAGUGGUGAAAGCCCAUCGCUCAACGGUGGAACGGCCAUUGAUACUGCCAGACUUGAAUUAUUAGGAAGUAACUAGAAUAUGUAGUGUAGCGGUGAAAUGCUUAGAGAUUACAUGGAAUACCAAUUGCGAAGGCAGGUUACUACUAAUGGAUUGACGCUGAUGGACGAAAGCGUGGGUAGCGAACAGGAUUAGAUACCCUGGUAGUCCACGCCGUAAACGAUGGAUACUAGCUGUUGGAAGCAAUUUCAGUGGCUAAGCGAAAGUGAUAAGUAUCCCACCUGGGGAGUACGUUCGCAAGAAUGAAACUCAAAGGAAUUGACGGGGGCCCGCACAAGCGGUGGAGCAUGUGGUUUAAUUCGAUGAUACGCGAGGAACCUUACCAAGGCUUAAAUGUAGAUUGACCGUUUUGGAAACAGAACUUUCGCAAGACAAUUUACAAGGUGCUGCAUGGUUGUC